rnacentral:rRNA from 1 species
UACGGAGGGUGCAAGCGUUAAUCGGAAUUACUGGGCGUAAAGCGUGCGUAGGCGGUUCGUUAAGUCUGUUGUGAAAGCCCCGGGCUCAACCUGGGAAUGGCAAUGGAUACUGGCGAGCUAGAGUGUGUCAGAGGAUGGUGGAAUUCCCGGUGUAGCGGUGAAAUGCGUAGAGAUCGGGAGGAACAUCAGUGGCGAAGGCGGCCAUCUGGGACAACACUGACGCUGAGGCACGAAAGCGUGGGGAG